CCUUACCUGGACUUGACAUAGUAAGAACUAUCAAGAGAUUGAUUGGUGUCUGCUUGCAGAAACUUAUAUACAGGUGCUGCACGGCUGUCGUCAGCUCGUGUCGUGAGAUGUUGGGUUAAGUCCCGCAACGAGCGCAACCCUCGUCGUUAGUUGCUAACAGUUCGGCUGAGAACUCUAACGAGACUGCCUGGGUAACCAGGAGGAAGGUGAGGACGACGUCAAGUCAUCAUGGCCCUUACGUCCAGGGCUACACACGUGCUACAAUGGGGCAUACAAAGAGCCGCGAUACCGCGAGGUGGAGCAAAUCUCAAAAAUGCCUCCCAGUUCGGAUAGCACUCUGCAACUCGAGUGCUUGAAGUUGGAAUCGCUAGUAAUCGUAGAUCAGCAAUGCUACGGUGAAUACGUUCCC
rnacentral:rRNA from 1 species